GAUGAAGAACGUAGCGAAAUGCGAUGAGUAAUGUGAAUUGCAGAAUUCAGUGAAUCAUCGAAUCUUUGAACGCACAUUGCGCCCGCCAGUAUUCUGGCGGGCAUGCCUGUUCGAGCGUCAUUUCAACCAUCAAGCUCUGCUUGCGUUGGGGAUCCGCGGCUGCCCGCGGUCCCUCAAAACCAGUGGCGGGCUCGCUAGUCACACCGAGCGUAGUAACUUUACAUCGCUAUGGUCGUGCGGCGGGUGCUUGCCGUAAAACCCCCCAAUUUUUAAGGUUGACCUCGGAUCAGGUAGGAAUACCCGCUGAACUUAAGCAUAUCAAUAAGCGGAGGA
rnacentral:misc_RNA from 1 species